rnacentral:rRNA from 1 species
AGAGUUUGAUCCUGGCUCAGAUUGAACGCUGGCGGCAGGCCUAACACAUGCAAGUCGAGCGGAAACGAGUUAUCUGAACCUUCGGGGGACGAUAACGGCGUCGAGCGGCGGACGGGUGAGUAAUGCCUAGGAAAUUGCCCUGAUGUGGGGGAUAACCAUUGGAAACGAUGGCUAAUACCGCAUAAUGCCUACGGGCCAAAGAGGGGGACCUUCGGGCCUCUCGCGUCAGGAUAUGCCUAGGUGGGAUUAGCUAGUUGGUGAGGUAACGGCUCACCAAGGCGACGAUCCCUAGCUGGUCUGAGAGGAUGAUCAGCCACACUGGAACUGAGACACGGUCCAGACUCCUACGGGAGGCAGCAGUGGGGAAUAUUGCACAAUGGGCGCAAGCCUGAUGCAGCCAUGCCGCGUGUGUGAAGAAGGCCUUCGGGUUGUAAAGCACCUUCAGUCGUGAGGAAGGUAGUGUAGUUAAUAGCUGCAUUAUUUGACGUUAGCGACAGAAGAAGCACCGGCUAACUCCGUGCCAGCAGCCGCGGUAAUACGGAGGGUGCGAGCGUUAAUCGGAAUUACUGGGCGUAAAGCGCAUGCAGGUGGUUUGUUAAGUCAGAUGUGAAAGCCCGGGGCUCAACCUCGGAAUAGCAUUUGAAACUGGCAGACUAGAGUACUGUAGAGGGGGGUAGAAUUUCAGGUGUAGCGGUGAAAUGCGUAGAGAUCUGAAGGAAUACCGGUGGCGAAGGCGGCCCCCUGGACAGAUACUGACACUCAGAUGCGAAAGCGUGGGGAGCAAACAGGAUUAGAUACCCUGGUAGUCCACGCCGUAAACGAUGUCUACUUGGAGGUUGUGGCCUUGAGCCGUGGCUUUCGGAGCUAACGCGUUAAGUAGACCGCCUGGGGAGUACGGUCGCAAGAUUAAAACUCAAAUGAAUUGACGGGGGCCCGCACAAGCGGUGGAGCAUGUGGUUUAAUUCGAUGCAACGCGAAGAACCUUACCUACUCUUGACAUCCAGAGAAUUUUCCAGAGAUGGAUUAGUGCCUUCGGGAACUCUGAGACAGGUGCUGCAUGGCUGUCGUCAGCUCGUGUUGUGAAAUGUUGGGUUAAGUCCCGCAACGAGCGCAACCCUUAUCCUUGUUUGCCAGCGAGUAAUGUCGGGAACUCCAGGGAGACUGCCGGUGAUAAACCGGAGGAAGGUGGGGACGACGUCAAGUCAUCAUGGCCCUUACGAGUAGGGCUACACACGUGCUACAAUGGCGCAUACAGAGGGCAGCAAGCUAGCGAUAGUGAGCGAAUCCCAAAAAGUGCGUCGUAGUCCGGAUUGGAGUCUGCAACUCGACUCCAUGAAGUCGGAAUCGCUAGUAAUCGUGGAUCAGAAUGCCACGGUGAAUACGUUCCCGGGCCUUGUACACACCGCCCGUCACACCAUGGGAGUGGGCUGCAAAAGAAGUAGGUAGUUUAACCUUCGGGAGGACGCUUACCACUUUGUGGUUCAUGACUGGGGUGAAGUCGUAACAAGGUAGCCGUA